CAGGCCGGGCGCCGGAGCCCACAUGGCAUAGGGGUGCGGUCCGGGGGCGCGCGGCCCUGGGGCCGGGUCGGCACGUGGGGCGCUGACAGUGGCGCCGUCUGCCUGGGUGGGGCGCCCCGAGCCCGGGAGCCGGCCUUCGCGGGGCGGCCCGCGGCGGUGGCCGGGCGGGGAGCGGACAGCGGGCAGCGCGCCCAAAGACCCGGACCCGAGUGCCGCCCCUCCGCGCCCCUGCCCUGCUGUGGAGUCCGCAGUUACCCCCUUGAGAUGGGAACCGUAUGGGACGGAGUGGGGGCCGCGGCGGAUCCCUGCCACGAGGCGCAGAAUGAGGACAGAUGGAGCCAGGAGUCAUUUGGGUGGGCGUUUAGAGAUCCCAGGAGUUGGGGAGGACAAACGGCCGAGUUUUCCUUUCACCUUAGGCCCAGCCGAGGUGGGUGGAUCACGAGGUCAGGAGAUGGAGACCAUCCUGGCUAACACGUUGAAACCCCGUCUCUCCUAAAAAAAUACAAAAAAUUAGCUGGGUAUGGUGGCAGGAGCCUGUAGUCCCAGCUACUUGGGAGGCUGAGGCAGGAGAAUCACUUGAACCCGGGAAGUGGAGGUUGCAGUGAGCCAAGAUCGCGCCACUGCACUCCAGCCUGGGCGACAGAGCGAGAUGCCGUCUCAAAAAGAAAACAAAGCAAAACAAAAGAACGUUGUGAAUGUGUAACACUUGUGUUCACACUCAAUCCAUCACCUUUUCUAUCUCCACUGCCACCACUGUAGACAGGCACCAUGUCUUGCCUGGACAACUGCAAUAACUCCUUAACCACCUGCUCUUUCUCCACCCUGCCCCCAUUAUAAUUCAUUCUCAUCCCAGGAAGAGCCAUUUUUGUUGUUGUUGUUGAGAGGGAGUCUCACUCUGUCACCCAGGCUGGAGUGCAGUGGUGGGAUCUCGGCUCACUGAAACCUCUGCCUCCCGGGUUCAAGCAAUUCUCCUGUUUCAGCCUCCCCAGUAGCUGGGACUACAGGCGCACGCCACCAUGCCUGGCUAAUUUUUGUAUUUUUAGUAGAGAUGGGGUUUCACUAUGUUGGCCAGGCUGGUCUCGAACUUCUGACCUCAGGUGAUUCACCCGCCUUGGCCUCCCAAUCAUGCCUUGGGAUUACAGGCAUGAGUCACCGCGUCCGGCCUAGGAGCCAUAUCUUAAAACCUAAUUCAGAUCGUGUCACUCCUCUGCUUGAAUCCUUUUUUUUUUUUUUUUUUUUUUGGUAGAGAACGGCGUCUCGCUAUGUUGCCCAGGCUGCUCUUGAACUGUUGGCCUCAAGCGAUCCGUCCGCCUCCGCCCUCCCAAGUGCUGGGACCUUCCUAGAAUUAGGCAGAAAAGCCCAAACUCCUUCCUCUGGCCUGCAAGGCCCUCCCUCCACCUCUUCAAUCUCCUUUUCUCACUCACCCUCUCGAACUCCUGACCUCAGGUGAUCCGCUCGCCUCGGCCUCCCAAAGUGUUGGGAUUACAGGCGUGAGCCACCGCACCAGGCCUAUUUUCUCACUCACCCCCUCGCUCCUGUCAACCCCUCCAGGCAGGGGCCUUGCAAUUGCCCCUCCUUAUGGAACACUUUCCCUGGGGAUCUUCCCGGACUGGUUUCCUCUCAUCAUCCAGGUCUGGGCUCAAAAGUCGCCUCCUUAGAGAGGCCCUCCGGGAUUGCCCAUCCGCCUGUGCCCACGCUUUGUCCCGUUACUCUAGUUUUAUUUCCUUUCCCGCUCGCAUCCCUCUCUGGGACGAAGUCGCCCCAUCACUCGUGGCUUUCUUCUCUGUCGCCCCGACAGGAGUGGGAACCUCAGGAAGGCAGGGGAGGCGUCUUGGGCACUUGGGGACAGCGACGCCUCCUCGCGGGGUCUCGGGUUUACCCGGAGUCCCCAGCCCGCGUAGCCUCAGCACCGCUCUCCACACCAGGUCCGGCGACCUGCAUCUGCGCCGCGGUUUACGUUCCGGGUCGGCGGGCGGGCCUCGUCGGCGGCCAGGCUCUACUUCCGGGGCGGGGCGGCCGGGGCGGGGCUCCUGUCUCCCGGCUUGUCUGGAGCUGGGCGGCCGCAGAAGCGGCAGCGGCGGCGGCGCGGCGCAGGCACCGGCCCGGGGAGAGGCACCAUGAGCGGAUCACAGAACAAUGACAAAAGACAAUUUCUGCUGGAGCGACUGCUGGAUGCAGUGAAACAGUGCCAGAUCCGCUUUGGAGGGAGAAAGGAGAUUGCCUCGGAUUCCGACAGCAGGGUCACCUGUCUGUGUGCCCAGUUUGAAGCCGUCCUGCAGCAUGGCUUGAAGAGGAGUCGAGGAUUGGCGCUCACAGCGGCAGCGAUCAAGCAGGCAGCGGGCUUUGCCAGCAAAACUGAAACAGAGCCCGUGUUCUGGUACUACGUGAAGGAGGUCCUCAACAAGCACGAGCUGCAGCGCUUCUACUCCCUGCGCCACAUCGCCUCAGACGUGGGCCGGGGCCGUGCCUGGCUGCGCUGUGCCCUCAACGAACACUCCCUGGAGCGCUACCUGCACAUGCUCCUGGCCGACCGCUGCAGGCUGAGCACUUUUUAUGAAGACUGGUCUUUUGUGAUGGAUGAAGAAAGGUCCAGUAUGCUUCCUACCAUGGCAGCAGGUCUGAACUCCAUACUCUUUGCGAUUAACAUUGACAACAAGGAUUUGAAUGGGCAGAGUAAGUUUGCUCCCACCGUUUCAGACCUCUUAAAGGAGUCAACACAGAACGUGACCUCCUUGCUGAAGGAGUCCACGCAAGGAGUGAGCAGCCUUUUCAGGGAAAUCACAGCCUCCUCUGCCGUCUCCAUCCUCAUCAAACCUGAACAGGAGACCGACCCCUUGCCUGUCGUGUCCAGGAAUGUCAGUGCUGAUGCCAAAUGCAAAAAGGAGCGGAAGAAGAAAAAGAAAGUGACCAACAUUAUCUCAUUUGAUGAUGAGGAAGAUGAGCAGAACUCUGGGGACGUGUUUAAAAAGACACCUGGGGCAGGGGAGAGCUCAGAGGACAACUCCGACCGCUCCUCUGUCAAUAUCAUGUCCGCCUUUGAAAGCCCCUUCGGGCCAAACUCCAAUGGAAGUCAGAGCAGCAACUCAUGGAAAAUUGAUUCCCUGUCUUUGAACGGGGAGUUUGGGUACCAGAAGCUUGAUGUGAAAAGCAUCGAUGAUGAAGAUGUGGAUGAAAACGAAGAUGACGUGUAUGGAAACUCAUCAGGAAGGAAGCACAGGGGCCACUUGGAGUCGCCCGAGAAGCCACUGGAAGGGAACACCUGCCUCUCCCAGAUGCACAGCUGGGCUCCGCUGAAGGUGCUGCACAAUGACUCCGACAUCCUCUUCCCUGUCAGUGGCGUGGGCUCCUACAGCCCAGCAGAUGCCCCCCUCGGAAGCCUGGAGAACGGGACAGGACCAGAGGACCAUGUUCUCCCGGAUCCUGGACUUCGGUACAGUGUGGAAGCCAGCUCUCCAGGCCACGGAAGUCCUCUGAGCAGCCUGCUACCUUCUGCCUCAGUGCCAGAGUCCAUGACAAUUAGUAAGUACUUUCGCAGCCCCCUCUACCAGCUCUGGGAUGACUUCUGGCCCAUGUCUCAUGGCGGUGCCUUUGUGCUUCUAACCCUGUGACUGUGGGUUCAAGUCAGGUGUGUACGUCCCUGGUUGUAGACUGGAGGUGUGGUACGUGCUUGUGGAUGUCCAGAACCGUGGUUAAUGCGUGGCGCUUGGGCGUGUGCGCGCUGAAGGGCGUGCCUCAGGGUGGAGCAGCCUUGCCGUAGACUUCUGUGGUUCCAGGUUUCGGGGUUUGCCUCCCGUAAUGCAGUUAGCUACAGAGGACCUAUUCUAGUUGGAUUUCCUUUGUAACUCUAAAGGACUCAUUUUUGCAAGUGAAGAAGAAUAUGUCUCUCCAAGAUGAUUAAACUUUGCUAAUGAUCAGGCUUCAACUGUUUCCAACUUUACUACCUAGAAAAAGUAUUAGAGAUAUAGCAAGGAAGACUAGGUUUGAAUGGCUUUGUAUAACAAAGAAUAAACCAACUGUUAUGUAAACUGACGGGUGCUCCUGGUAUCUCACUCGUGGCUUGAGCCAGCAUUUGUCCCAUGGCCUCCCCUGGAGGCAGAGGGGGCACUUGUUCCCAGUUAAAAAAAAAAAUUAGCUUUUGUUGCUAAGGAAGGAAGAAGGCGUUUGGGAGGCACCUAGCAUUUUCUGAUUCAAGGGUGAAGCAGGAAGUGAGCAGACACUAUAUAAACCAACAGUUGGUUUAUUUUUUGUACACAAAGCCAUUCAGAUCUACUCUUCUUGAAGUUUUUGUGGAGGUUGCAGUGAGCCGAGAUGGCGACACUGCACUCCAGCCUGGGUGCCAGAGCGAGACUCUUUGUCUUAAAAAAAAAAAAAAAAAAAAAAAAAAAAAAAAAGAAACAAAAAGAAAAAAAAAAGCUAAAAUAAAAAUUUCGGGGAAAAAAAUUUCGGGAGAAAAACCUUGGUGAAGUUCUGAUUGCUGGAUUUGGUCACAAAGGUCAUGCUGUUGGUGACAUCCCUGGGGUCCGAGUUAAGGUUCUCAGAGUAGUCAGUGUCUCUCCCUUGGUCCUAUGCAAAGGCAAGAAGGAAAGACCAAGAUAAUACAUUUUGGUGGUGAAAACACAGUAGAAAUAUAUUUUUAUAAGCCAAAGGCAAAGAGAUGUGUCAGCGAGUCACAUUAGAAAGGUGUUGAGGCUAUCCUGUUACUGAACUGAUGGUAAUGGAGAGGACUGAGGAUGGGAAAAGAAGCCACUCCUGUGACUUGCUGGGAUCUAACGCCACAUCACUUCCCAGCACCUACGAUUCUGUCUCUGUGUGGGUGGCACCGUGGUGUAGAUGGACAAGACUUGACUCUGGCUGUGAGGCACAGCUACUGUAAAGAACACUGCGUUUUGAUUUAUGGGCAUUUUUUUUUUAAAGGACAGCAGCCCCGAGAUCAUGCCUGCGAGGCUUUGUAGGCACCGUAAGUAGGGCUGCAGGCAUCCCUGUGUGCCCCGGCAGGUGUCUGACAUUCUGUUUCCCAAGAGUUCCUGCGGCCGGGGCUGAGGUCCCAGCAUCUCAGAUAAACACGGUUUGCUUUGUCAGCUGCGUCUCAGGUCCACGUAGAGCAUGGUGUCUGGGCCUUCCUCAGCCGCUUUCUGUCUUUGAGGAAGUCACUGGCCUUGCCUGUGCAUUUUCAGUGAUGACAUACAUGCCCUUAAACAUGCUCGAGUUAGGCCAGUGACAGAGGCAUAGAUUGUUUUUCUUGUUUUGACUCAGACAAUUUUUUAGAAACUAAAUCAUUUUAUUAUUUGGCAUUUUGAGCAAGUUUGGGACAUAUCCAGAGCUUAUACCUUGAAUCUCUGAAGAAAAAAAUGUCACCAUGUCUGCAUUUGAGCCUUGAUACUUGGUAGAAAUGUGGUCUGUGGUUAGGAUUGUGUGUGGGUGGCUGGGACAAGCGGCUUCUGUCUUCUGCGGUGCCUGUACCUUUAGGAAGUCUUCAAGGACAGUGCUGUUGUCUACCCUGGAUGUCAUCCAGCACAGAUGAGGGGUCAGGAAUCCUAGAAAUUUUGAGCGAAGGGUGGUUUUCAAUUGUGUUUUCCCACCCUGCCAUCACCUCCUGUGUCACAUGCAAGAGGAGUAAGAAGAGUGGGUCUGUCUGGGUGUCCGGGGUAUUUGCUUGGGCUACCAUAACAAGGGGCCACAGAUAGGGUGGCUUCAACAACAAAAACUUAUUUUCUCGGCCGGGCACGGUGGCUCAUGCCUGUAAUCCUAGCACUUUGGGAGGCCGAGGUGGGGGGAAUCACUUGAGGUCAGGAGUUCAAAACCAGUCUGGCCAACAUGGUGAAACCCUGUCUCUACUAAAAAUACAAAAAAUUAGCAUGGUGUGGUGGCUGGCACCUGUAAUCUCGGCUACUCGGGAGGCAGAAGCAGGAGAAUCGCUUGAACCUGGGAGGCAAAGGCUGCAGUGAGCUGAGAUUGCACCACUGCACUCCAGCCUGGGCGACAGAGCAAGACUAUGUCUCAAAAAAAAAAACAAAAAAAACAAAAAAAACCCUCAAAACUUACUUUCUUACAGUUCUGGAGGCUGAAAGACCAAGAUCAAGGUGCCAGCAGGGUUGAUUUCUGGUGAGGACUCUUUCCUUGGCUUGCAGACAGCCACCUUCUCUCUGUCCUUAUGUGGCCUUUCCUCUGCAGGCACAUCCUGGUGUCCCUUCUCUCUUCUUAUAAGGGCGCCGGUCCUGUGGGAUCAGAGCCCCAUGCUUAUGACCUUAUUAACUUUGAUUACCUCAUUAAGGCCUUGUCUCCAUAUAAACUCAGAUUGGGAGUUAGGGCUUCCACUGGUCCAUUUGGGAAGGGAUGCCAUAGCAUGAGUUGUCCCAGGAGUGAGUGUCGCAAAUGCCGUCCCAGUUCAGAUGGAGCAUCCCAUCGCUGCAUGUGAAGCACCUGAGAUUCUACUCUAGAGCAGUCACUCGACUCUUGGAAACCCCAGAGGAGCUUGGCAAAGAAACUCAUCAGCUCUGCCCCCCGAAGCAGCGAAUGCUUCACUCACAUCCCGCCAAGUGGCUUCCCUGGCUUCGUGUAAUAAUCUGCGCAGGUGGCUGCCUCUGUACUGUAAUUGAGCUAGAGCUAGGUUAUUUAAUCCUCAGUGCCUGGGGAUAAUUGUGAAGUCUUCUAUCGAGCAACCUUUCCCUCUCAGGUAUCUCUGAAAUUGCAAAGGGUGUUUUGUCCUGAGGCAUUCAGAGGGACUGUAUUCUUGUGGUUAUUUACUACUGAAGAGAAGAUGGUGUGUCCAGACCCACAUGAUUGUUCUCCUUCUGCAAGGCCCUCUGGUACUUCAGAAAAUACAAAAGCCUGUUAUGAAAAAGUUAUUAUUUUUUUUUGAGAUGGAGUGUUGCUCUUAUCGCCCAGGCUGGAGUGCAGUGGCACAAUCUCGGGUCACUGAAACCUCCGCCUCCCGGAUUCAAGCUAUUCUCCUGCCUCAGCCUCAUGAGUAGCUGGGAUUACAGAUGCCUGCCACCACCCUCAGCUAAUUUUUGUACUUUUAGUAGAGGCAGGGUUUCACCAUGUUGGCCAGGCUGGUCUCGAACUCCUGACCUUGUGAUCCGCCCACUUCGGCUUCCCAAAGUGAAAAAGUUAAUUAUUUAGCAAAGCAGUAAAGACAGUUUGGAGCAAACUAAAACACCCAUAAUUCUGCCUCACGGAUGCCUUGCAUUUCUGCAGGUAGGUUCCCAGUUCUUGUUUCGGGCACACGGAGCUGUACCUGGGGUUGGAGUUGCAGCUGUGCCUGUUGCUCUCAGGAGGCCAUGUGCCCUCAGGGCCAGGAGGGCACACUCAGAAGCUCAGCUGCCUGGGCUCAGGUUCCAGCUGAGUGGCCCCAGCCCCCUCAGUACCGUGUCCUUAUCAAGAUAGAGUGACAGGAUCAACACCCAAAUCAUGGGCGGCCAUGAAGAUAACUGUGAUGUGCUUAGAACAGCAUCAGGAUCAGAGUUAAGAGUCAAUAAAUAGGCCGGGCGCAGUGGCGCACGCCUGUAAUCCCAGCACUUUGGGAGGCCAAGGUGGGCAGAUCAUUUGAGGGCAGGAGUUUGAGACUAGCCAGGCCAACAUAGUGAGACUCUGUCUCUAUAAAAAAUAAAAAAAAUUACCUGGAUAUGGUGGUGCGUACCUGUAUUCCCAGCUAAUUGGGAGGCUGAGGCAGGAGGAUUGUUUGAGCCCAGGAGGUCAAGGCUGCAGUGAGUUAUGAUUACACCACUGCACUCCAGCCUGGGUGACAGGGCUAGACCCCGUCUCAAAAAGAAAAAGAAAAAGAAAAAAGAAAUCCCCAGGGCAGUGAGUGUCUUCUGUCCCCUCUGGGCCCUUUCCCCUUGUCUGGAGUCACCCACAUGGCCAGUGGCUUUGCUUUUCUGCCUCCUCUUCUGUCAGCUCUUAACACCAGUUCCUGACAAACCCUCAAAGCAAACUUCUGGAAUGCUAUGGGCUUGUUAAGAACACAGCAGGUCCGAGGAGAGUGGCAUUUGAUUUGUUUUUGGAGGCCCCAUAUUCCUUCUCCACUCUUCUUCCCUUUCCUUUUGGACGGAGUCUCGCUCUGUCGGCCAGGCUGGAAUGCACUGGUGUAAUCUCGGCUCACUGCAACCUCCGCCUCCCAGGUUCAAGUGAUUCUCCUGCCUCUGCCUUCCGAGUAGCUGGGGUUAAAGGCACGCGCCACCAUGCCCGGCUAAUUUUUGUACUUUUAGUAGAGGUGGGGUUUUGCCAUGUUGGCUAGGCUGGUCUCAGACUCCUGACUUCAGGUGAUCCUCCUGCCUCGGCCUCCCGAAGUGGUGGGAUUAUAGGCAUGAGCCACUGUGCCCAGCCCCCACCCUACUUCUCUAAUAAAAUGUGUCUGUUUAUUAUUCUAGUUCUGACUAGAAUAAUAAUCUUCUAUCAAAAUAGAAGCUAGUAAAAGUAACAGUAUAUUCUGGUAAAACUGACUGUAUGCCAUGUAUGGUGCUGAAGCAUUUUUAUUUAUGUUUUCUCAUUGAAUCCCCCAGCAGCCUUCUGAGGUGUAGGUUAUAUUAUUCUCUUUUGUAUAAGAAAAUGAGGCUUAGGAGGGUAAGUACCUGCCCAAGGCCUCAUGGCUAGUAGAACAGAUAGUUACUGAGCACCUACUGUGUGCCAGACAUGGUGUCUAGCUGUAGUAAGUGGUGAAUCUGUGAGAGACCCAGGUGUUCUUACUCCAAAACCUACACUCUUGCCAAUUCUUAUUUUUUUUUUUUUUUGAGAUGGAGUCUCGCUCUGGCUGGAGGGCAGUGGCGUGAUCUCGGCUCACUGCAAGCUCCGCCUCCCGGGCUCACGCCAUUCUCCUGCCUCAGCCUCCCGAGUAGCUGGGACUACAGGCGCCCGCCACCACGCCUGGCUAAUUUUUUGUAAUUUUUUGUAAUUUUUAGUAGAGACGGGGUUUCACUGUGUUAGCCAGGAUGGUCUCAAUCUCCUUUCCUUGUGAUCCGCCCGCCUCGGCCUCCCAAAGUGCUGGGAUUACAGGCGUGAGCCACUGCGCCUGGCCACACUCUUGCCAAUUCUACAUUACCUAAGGAGACACAUUUCAUUGUCACCAGCCAGGGCAAGCAGCAGUGGACUAGUCAUAUGUGGGCAUCCAGGUCUGAGAGCCUUAAGCUUAUCAUUACUAUUUUUGGAGGCAGGGUCUCUGUUGCCCAGGCUGGAGUGCAGUGGUGCAUUCCUGGCUUACUGCAGCCUUGAACUCCUGGGCUUAAGCGAUCCUCCUGCCUCAGCUUCCCAAGUAGCUGGGACUGAAGGUGCAUGCCACCCCGCCCGGCUGUGUUUUAAUGCUUAUUUUGUAGAGAUGGGAGUCUUGCUAUGUUGCCUAGGCUGGUCUUGAACUCCUGGGCUCAGAUAAUCCUCCCACCUCAGCCUCUCAAAGUGCUGGGGUUACGACAUGACCUACUAUGCCUGGCCAAACACCAAAUUUUAAAAUGAAGAAAAAUUUUCUUUUUACCAGUUUUAUUUAACUAUUGUCAUUUUUAAAAAACUUAAUUUGCGGCAACAAUGUUUCAAUAAAAUUUUGGAUUAAAUAGUCCCAUGGGUCCCAAUCUGGGGGACCAGGAGGGUACAAAUAGAAGAUGCAGGUGAGAGAGAAACAUUGUGAACCAGAGUAAUGGAGGCUGACACAGAUGCAGAGCAGUUAGGUCUUUCUGGAAUAGCACGUGUCUCUGCCUUUGGCUGCGAUAUUUCAGCUCCGUUAUUGGCAGGCUUUAAUAACAAGCAGGGUAACCAUCAUAACACUUAAAACUGAUAGACAAAUGUGGUUCAUGGGUGUGGAAUGAGAGGCAUUCUUGGUGGUAAGUAAUGAUUACGGGGCCAGGCAUGGUGGCUAAUGUCUGUAAUCUCAGCACUGUGGGAGGCUGAGGUGGGUAGAUCACCUGAGGUCAAGAGUUUGAGACCAGCCUGGCCAACAUAGUGCAACCCGUCUCUACUAAACAUACAAAAAACAAUUAGCCGGGUAUGGUGGUGGGUGCCUGUAAUCCCAGCUACUCAGGAGGCUGAGGCAGGAGAAUCGCUUGAACCCAGGAGGCGGAGGUUGCAAUGAGCCGAGAUCGUUGCCACUGCACUCCAGCCUGGGCAACAGAGUGAGACUCUAUCUCAAAAUAAACAGAUUAAUAAAGUAAAUAGAAAUUAGCUGGUCAUGGUGGCACAUGUCUGUGGUCUCAGCUUCUUGGGAGAAUGAGGCAGGAGGAUUGCUUGAGCCCAGGAGUUCGAGGCUGCAUUGAGCAGUGAUGAUGACACUGCACCCCAGCCUGGGCAACAGAGCAAGACCUGCUUCUUACACAUUUAAGGUAAUGAUUAGUACUCAUUAGAUGGUAAAGCAGCCG